UUAAAAACAACGACAGGAUAAAAACUAACCAGAAGUUGUAAAAGAAUACCUGCUUCAGAAAAGAUAAAUACGGUCAAUAUGAAUAUUUUACAUCACAUGUUUUGAUGUGAUUUCAGAUCGACCAGGCAGAUACUGUGCCGACCGUUUCUAUGAUUGUUCUAAGGUAAAAGAGCAAUGUAAUGACUACACAAUCAAACAGAUUUGUCCAUCAACUUGUAAUGUAUGUGGUCAGUAUAUAUUAUCGUUAGAUUUAAAUGCGUAUUACACUUUUAAUACGUCAGCGUAAAUGAUGUUAGUAAACUUGUAUAUCAGAGUGACAGAAGAUUAAAAGGACAUUCAAAAGUCGUCGAGAAGCCAACAACGUAAUUAACAAAAGACACAAAGGCAAACAUCACUCUUCAAAAUACCUUUAAUACAAAUCUAAAAAUUGAACAACAUGGACCACGCUUAUAACAGCGGUCAUCAUAUAUGCACUGGAAGAAUCGUUUGAAGACAUUUUGCUGACAUCAUCACAAGUUGAUUGUCCGGUAUUGAAUAUAUAUGUACACAAAGGAAAAAACAUGUAAGAAAAAUAGUAGUUACAUGUACCACAAAAUGUCCUCUGUUUUCCUGAAUUAAACAAACCAAUGGUCUAAAAAUUGUGUUUACCAGGUCAAGAAAAUGGUCAUUAUUAUAUUAUAGUUCGUUUCUGUGUGUGUUACAUUUAAAUGUUGUGUUUCAGUGUGUCGUAGUUCUCAUAUAUUUGAUGUGUUUCCCUUUGUUUUAGUGUGUGACCCGGAUUUGUUUUUGUCUCUAUCGAUUUUCAUGCCACAAACCAGGUUCAACAGGGCAUUUUAAGAAAAAUGGUGGGUUAAAUCUGGUUUGUGGCGUGCCAAACCUCCCGUUUUAAUAGCAAUGUUGAUUAUGACAUUUAAAUGAAAACAUUACAUGACAGGACUACAAUACAAAUAAAUGGGAGAAAUAUAGGACAGAGAAACACACGAAUAAUAGCCAACAAAAGGUACCAGGCUACAAAUUUAAUACGCCUGACGUGCGUUUCGUCCACACAAGACUUGAUAAUUUUUUCUUAUACGACCAAGUUCAAUCCACCAUUUCUUGCAUCCGAAAAUUUAUGCACCAAGUCAGGAAGAUGACAGGUGUUUUCCAUUCGUUUGAUGUGUUUGAGCUUUUGAUUUAGCAAUUUGAUUAGGGACUUCUCGUUUUAAAUUUAUUGGCUUUAUAACUAUUUUGAUAUGAGCGUCACUGAUGAGUCUUAUGUAGACGAAACGCGCGUCUUGCGUAUUAAAUUAUAAUCCUGGUACCUUUGAUAACUAUAACUAUUUAUCGGAGUUCAGUAUUUUGUGAAUCUACUUUUUAUUUCAGAUUGGAAUACAGGAAUGUAAUGAUCACUUCUAAGAACAAACAUUAGUUUCUCGUGACACAUCAACAGCCUUCUCUAAUGCCGAUGUCUACUAUGUACUCAUUGUGAAAUAAAUAAAAUGUUUUGAUAAAAUAUCUCGAAUUUAUAUUGGCAAAAUAAAGAAUCUCUAAUUUUUACUGCCUCGUCUUCUAAUUUGAAAAAACAGCUGCGCCACGAUCUCAUGAUACGCCCGUCGUCUUUUAAUAAAUGUUUCUGGAAUAACACGAGGGUUGUACAGGAAGUACCCCCUGACUCAUUCACUAUUCCUGCAUUAGAAAGUUUAUAUAAGAGACAGAAAUUUGAAAGCAAAUAAAACAAAGUUAAUGUUUUAAUACUUGAAUCGUUAAGUUGUUUCAGAGAAUACCAUCUUUGAAAAACAUUUCGACGUCAUACGUCGACGACAUCCUAUAUCCUUACGGGCCAUCAAUUUAACAUCUAGUCGAAAACUCCUGAUACUGAGCCAGAAAGAUAACUUUGGUCGAGCAAUAAUUUGUAUUUUGUGUGAAUGUACUAACUUCUUCUAAGUCUGCUUAUAA
rnacentral:lncRNA from 1 species